AGUCUAUAUAAGACAGACAUUUGUAAACAGCUGUCUUUACUGAGUCAGUUGUGUUGAGGGGAAGUAGUGUCUGUACACCAUUAACAAUAUGAAUGCAGAAAGUCAGAGUGAGCACCCCUUGUGUCGACCCCUGGCAGAGGAUGACCCACAACUCUUCGAAAUUCUCAGGAAAGAGAAGAAUCGACAGUUUCGUGGUCUUGAAAUGAUUGCCUCUGAAAAUUUUACAUCUCGUGCAGUUAAUGAAUGUUUGUCAUCUUGCUUAACAAACAAGUACUCUGAGGGUAUGGUGGGCCAGAGGUAUUAUGGUGGAAACGAGUUUAUAGAUGAAAUAGAAUUACUGUGUCAGCAGCGUGCCCUGAAGGCAUUUGGACUGAAACCUGAAGAAUGGGGUGUCAAUGUUCAGCCAUAUUCUGGCUCCCCAGCCAACUUUGCUGUCUACACAGCUCUAGUUGAGCCUCAUGGACGUAUAAUGGGUUUGGAUCUUCCUGAUGGAGGGCAUCUAACACAUGGCUUCUACACGGCCGCUAAAAAGGUGUCUGCUACGUCAAUAUUCUUCGAGUCGAUGCCUUACAAGAUCAAUGUUAACACAGAACUGAUAGAUUAUGACAGACUGCAAGAAAAUGCUAAGCUUUUCAAGCCAAAGCUUAUAAUUGCAGGUGUCAGCUGUUAUCCUCGUCACCUGGAUUAUAAAAGGUUCCGGGAGAUCUGUGAUGAAAAUGGCUCCCUUCUGAUGGCAGACAUGUCACAUGUAAGUGGUCUUGUAGCCACAGGCCUCACUACAAACCCCUUCGAAUAUUGUGAUAUAGUCACUACAACAACACACAAGACACUUCGUGGACCUCGUAGUGGUGUUAUCUUUUAUAGAAGAGGACAGAAGGGUGUGGAUAAAAAUGGAAAAGCAGUUAUGUAUGACUAUGAAGACAAGAUCAAUCAGGCAGUGUUUCCAGGGCUUCAAGGAGGACCCCAUAAUCAUCAGAUUGCUGCUAUUGCUGUUACCAUGAGACAGGCUGCUGAACCUUCAUUUAAAGAAUAUCAAGAACAGGUCAUAAAAAAUGCAAAAGAGCUUGCUACAGGCUUGCAAACUGCUGGCUACAAGAUAGUUACAGGAGGAACUGACAACCACUUAGUGUGGGUUGAUAUGCGUUCGGUGGGAUUAUCUGGUGGUAAAGCUGAAAAAAUAUUGGAAGAUGUAUCCAUAGCUUGCAACAAGAACACAGUUCCUGGUGACAAGUCUGCAUUGAAUCCAAGUGGCAUUCGUUUGGGAACUCCAGCUCUCACUACAAGGAACAUGAAGGAAGAAAAUAUAAAGGUGGUUGUAUCAUUCAUCACUGAAGCCUUCAGGAUUGCAAGAGACGUGCAAGAAAAAUCUGGACCGAAGUUAGUGGACUUCAAGCGUGUUUUGAAUGACGAGGAGUUCAAGAAUCGUGUGGUUGUGCUUAGGGAAAAGGUAGAAUCCUAUGCAGAGAAAUUCCCACUACCAGGAUUACGUGACUUUUAGGAUUUUUUAUAAUACAGUGGACCCUCGUUGUUCGUAAGCAUCAGAAGUCAUAAUUUUCGAAAAUCUUAACUUUUUUUCGUCAAAAUACUGACUCAAGAAUCGUCGUUCAUCCCAGACCCGUACGCACAGCCCCAAGCGGCCCCACACUCCAUUCACAGCCAGUGUGCCAUUGUUUAUCAGCGAGUGAGGGUGAUCCCAUGUGUUCAUACGAUACAUUUCGUAAUAUUCCAUUUGUUUUAGUGCUUGCAACUGCUAAAUAAACCACUAGGGCCCCAAAGAAAGCUCCUAGUAAAGAAGGUGAGAAACAUGAUAGAAUUUAAGAAAGAACUCGUAGUAAAGUUAGUGAAGUACCAAAGUGGAGGAGGAAGAGAGAGGAGAAUUCUUCAGUGAUUCUACAAUAUGUGUGAUACUAAAGCAGCACGAGUCAUUAAAGGCUAUAGCGCCAGCCAGCGAUAAAGUGUAGCAUUAACAGUGUAGCAAGUAAGUUAAGCGAUUAGUCGAUAGAAAAAGGACAGCACAAACGUUAACUCCUCCAAUGUUGGAGUUAUAUAGGGCUACUGACAACACUACCACCACUAUGUAUAGCUUAUGCUCUCAGUGGCCCUUAUACACCCAAUAACAAAAUACAGCACCACUUGUGACAUACGUAAUGACAUUUUUUAUUCAUUCUAGAGCACAUGUCAUGUUUCUAUGUUAUUAUUGUUUAUUAUGUCAUAUUAGAUGAAUUGUGAUACAGAUAAAUAAACCGUAGAGUUGAUAUUAGUGUCAUGUUGAAGGACUAUCUUGUCCUGCCUCCACACACACUCCCCUGCCGCCGUCACAAUUCCUAACAUACGUAAUGACAUAUUUUAUUCAUACACCAACAAGAGUCCUCAAUAAAGUUAAGUGUGAUGUUUUAUUUUUCAUGUCUCAUUGUUUUCUGUGUAUGUAAAUUAUAUUUCGUGUAAAAAAAAAUUUUUUUUUGGUUAAUACUUUUAGUCUGAAAGGGAUUACAGUAAUUGGAUUCUCAUUAUUUCUUGUGUGGAAAAUGGUUUUGCAAAUUGUCAAUUUUGCCAUUAGUCACACUCUGGAAUGGAUUAAUUACAAAAAACGAGGGUCCACUGUACACCCAAAAGCACUGAAGAGCCUGAGAGGUGUUAUUAGUUGUGAAUACAUCUUUGGAAUUCUGUAUAGUAAGUGGAAUUCAUAUACUACUGUUUGAAGGUACCAGGACUUGUGAUAAAGAUCUGUAUCAGUUAUAAUUUGGUAAAUUUUUAUUUUUAACGAACUUAAUACGUAAUACAGCACUUUUUAAAUUUUAUCAAGACCUUUAAAUUCAUAUAUUUUGUAUAAUAAAUUUCUGGCAGAAA